CUUGGUCAUUUAGAGGAAGUAAAAGUCGUAACAAGUUUCCGUAGGUGAACCUGCGGAAGGAUCAUUACUGGGUAAAGGCUUCGCCCUCCAACCCCACCCUUUGUAACCGCGGCCCGGAUUCGGCGCCUGGCGGGGACCCCUCUGUUCGCGGAGGCCCUUCGCCUGCCGGAAUCAGCCAACACGCCUCGAAAUUGAAGUCUGAGAACAAGUUAAAUUAAACAAAACUUUCAAAACGGAUCUCUUGGUUCUGGCAACGAUGAAGAACGCAGCGAAAUGCGAUAGUAAUGUGAAUUGCAGAAUUCAGUGAAUCAUCGAAUCUUUGAACGCACUUGCGCCCUUCGGUAUUCCGUUGGGCAUGCCUGUUCGAGCGUCAUUUAACCUUCAAGCUCUGCUUGGUGUUGGGUGUUUGUUCCGCCUCAGCGCGUGGCUCGCCUUGAAUUCAUUGGCAGCCGGUAUGUCGGCUUCGUGCGCAGCACUUGCGUCGCGAUUCUAGCGUACCUCCUCCCAUUAAGCCUCUUUUUUACUUGACCUCGGAUCAGGUAGGGAUACCCGCUGAACUUAAGCAUAUCAAUAACGGAGGA
rnacentral:rRNA from 1 species